GACGAACGCUGGCGGCGUGCUUAACACAUGCAAGUCGAACGGAAAGGCCCUGCUUUUGUGGGGUGCUCGAGUGGCGAACGAGUGAGUAACACGUGAGUAACCUGCCCUUGACUUUGGGAUAACUUCAGGAAACUGGGGCUAAUACCGGAUAGGAGCUCCUGCUGCAUGGUGGGGGUUGGAAAGUUUCGGCGGUUGGGGAUGGACUCGCGGCUUAUCAGCUUGUUGGUGGGGUAGUGGCUUACCAAGGCUUUGACGGGUAGCCGGCCUGAGAGGGUGACCGGCCACAUUGGGACUGAGAUACGGCCCAGACUCCUACGGGAGGCAGCAGUGGGGAAUAUUGCACAAUGGGCGGAAGCCUGAUGCAGCAACGCCGCGUGCGGGAUGACGGCCUUCGGGUUGUAAACCGCUUUCGCCUGUGACGAAGCGUGAGUGACGGUAAUGGGGAAAGAAGCACCGGCUAACUACGU
rnacentral:rRNA from 1 species